CGCAUCUGUGCAUGCAGCAUAUCAAUAGCGGAGGAAAAGAAACUAACAAGGAUUCCCUUAGUAACGGCGAGUGAAGCGGGAAGAGCUCAAAUUUGAAAUCUUCAAGGUUUUACCUUGACGAAUUGUAGUUUAAAGAAGUGUUUUCUGUUGAAGUUUUGGUAAAAGUUCUUUGGAAUAGGACAUCAUAGAGGGUGAGAAUCCCGUAUUUGACCAUUAUUUUCAGCUGUGUGAUACACUUUCAAAGAGUCGGAUUGUUUGGGAAUGCAGUCCAAAAUGGGUGGUAAAUUUCAUCUAAAGCUAAAUAUUGGCGAGAGACCGAUAGCGAACAAGUACCGUGAGGGAAAGAUGAAAAGAACUUUGAAAAGAGAGUUAAACAGUACGUGAAAUUGUCAAAAGGGAAGCGUUUGACACCAGUGUUGUUUUCUCGAAAAUCAAUUAAAAAGAGUUAGAUUUUGUUGUGUAUUGACCUUAACAGCUUGCAUUUCAAUUUUCUUGCUUUUUUUUAAUGCACUUUUCGUUUAACAAGUCAACAUCAGUUUCUUUUGUUGUAAAAAGGUCAUUGGAAGGUGGCUUUCUUUUCGGAGAAAGUGUUUAUAGCCUUUGACUCCUGCAAUCGGAGAGACUGAGGUCUGCAGCGUAGAUCCUUCGGGGUUAGAUACAUUUGUGCUAAGUUAUAGCUUUUUAUAGACAACUUGUUGACUAUGAUUAGUCUUGUAGCUUACUCGCUUAUGCUAUUUUACCUACGCUUAGGAUGUUGAUGUGAUACUGCGAGCA
rnacentral:rRNA from 1 species